CUAUCUUUUGUUCUUACUAAUUACCUUAAUUAGCUACAUGCAUUAUAAAAUAGUAAAAUUAGAUGUUUUAGAUAUAAUAAUACAUCUCAAAAAUUUAUCUCAGAAAAUAUCAUUUCCAAGAUGAAAAAAAUAACAAAUUCAACAUCCAAUGUGCAUCAGCAUCUCAAAAUUAAUUGAUUGUUCAAAUGCAACUGAAUUUGCACAGCAUUUGGAUCCUUUUGUGUAAUUAGCACACCGACUUUAUUGAAAGCGAGGCUUACUUGGCGUGGUGGAAUGGAAGAUGAUGGCGGUGUUCAGCAGAGGAUCUUUGUGGAGAUACCUCAGGCAAAAUUAAAAAUAUACAAAAUAGAAUGAAAAUUGCAAUAAUGGAAGGAUUGACAGAUAUACAUGCUUCAUUUUGUGAAAAUGGUGAGGAUUUACAGUAAAACAGGAAACAAAGAAGGAUGAUGGGAGAAACAAAAUUACAGGUUGUUUCUUAUGAUGUCUAUGACGCCUUGUCACAAAGACCAGUACUCUGAUGAGAUGUGGGAGCCGGAAUAAUGCCAAUAAGGAGGAGGGCAGGAAGCAGUUUCUGGAAGUGAAUUUGAAGAUGAUGAGAAAAACUUUCCAUUUUCCAAAAAGUCACUAAAGAGUUUGACACAUUUGACACGGAGAGCCUUACAGAAUAUGGAAAUGAAAUCUAAUGUAAGUGAAUCAAGAUCAGAUUCUUGGAAGAGUUCCAGCUCAAUGUCACUUAGAAGAUUAGAUGGUCCUUCCAGUAGAGACACUGAAUUGUGAAGGAGGAGAUGUGGGUUGUCAGAACAGCAUUGGAGGAGUUCAACGAGUCUUCUGUAGAUGGUGCCCAUGUCGCUUGCACACAUGUUAUUGUCUUCUGCAAUACUCAUGUAAGGUUCUGUAAUUUUGAUGGAGAGUAUACCAAGACAUCUCACUAUUGCCAGAAUGAAUUUAUUUUGUAAAGCACAAAGAAUGAAUUUCUGCACCUGAUUUAAAGACGGUUUUGUAGAAGAAAGAUAUUGCAAAAUGUGUUUUUUGAGAUAGAAUGUUCUUGCAGAAUUGAAGAAAACAGUAUUGAAUCUAGUGCCUCUGUGAUUCAUGAUAGGAAUUUUUGAAAUGUUGAGAGUAUCUUUAAUGUAGGUGGACGUAAACAGAGGAUC